rnacentral:rRNA from 1 species
GACGAACGCUGGCGGCGUGCUUAACACAUGCAAGUCGAACGGUAAGGCCCCUUCGGUGGUACACUAGUGUCGAACGGGUGCGUAACACGUGGGUGAUCUGCCCUUCACUUCGGGAUUAGCCUGGGAAACUGGGUCUAAUACCGGAUAGGACCACUCUCUUCAUGGAGUGUGUUGAAAAGCUUUUGCGGGUUUGGAUGGGCCCUCUGCCUAUCAGCUUGUUGGUUUGGUGAUUUCAUACGAAGACGACGACGGGUAGCCGGCAUGAGAGGGUGUCCGGCCACACUGGGACUGAGAUACGGAGCAGACUGCUACGGGAGGCAGUAGUGGGGAAUAUUGCACAAUGGGCGCAAGCCUGAUGCAGAGACGCCGCGUGGGGGAUGACGGCCUUCGGGUUGUAAACCUCUUUCAGUACCGACGAAGCGAAAGUGACGGUAGGUAAAGAAGAAGCACCGGCCAACUACGUG